rnacentral:rRNA from 1 species
CCUACGGGUGGCAGCAGUGGGGAAUAUUGGGCAAUGGGCGCAAGCCUGACCCAGCAACGCCGCGUGAAGGAAGAAGGCCCUCGGGUUGUAAACCUCUUUUAUUCGGGACGCAACAAAUGACGCUACCGCCUGAAUAAGCCUCGGCUAACUAAGUGCCAGCAGCCGCGGUAAUACGGAGGGGGCAAGCGUUAGCCGGAGUUACUGGGUGUAAAGGGCGUGUAGGCGGUAGUGCAAUGCAGACGUGAAAUUCCAGGGCUCAACCCUGGAACUGCGUUUGAAACUGUUCUUCUUGAGAGAUGGAGAGGCAGGCGGAAUGCCGUGUGUAGCGGUGAAAUGCGUAGAUAUAAGGAGGAACACCAGUGGCGAAGGCGGCCUGCUGGACAUUAACUGACGCUGAGGCGCGAAAGCGUGGGGAGCAAACAGGAUUAGAUACCCUGGUAGUC